CCUACGGGGGGCAGCAGUGAGGAAUAUUGGUCAAUGGACGAGAGUCUGAACCAGCCAAGUAGCGUGAAGGAUGACUGCCCUAUGGGUUGUAAACUUCUUUUAUAUGGGAAUAAAAUGUUCCACGUGUGGGAUUUUGUAUGUACCAUAUGAAUAAGGAUCGGCUAACUCCGUGCCAGCAGCCGCGGUAAUACGGAGGAUCCGAGCGUUAUCCGGAUUUAUUGGGUUUAAAGGGAGCGUAGGUGGAUUGUUAAGUCAGUUGUGAAAGUUUGCGGCUCAACCGUAAAAUUGCAGUUGAAACUGGCAGUCUUGAGUACAGUAGAGGUGGGCGGAAUUCGUGGUGUAGCGGUGAAAUGCUUAGAUAUCACGAAGAACUCCGAUUGCGAAGGCAGUUCACUGGACUGCAACUGACACUGAGGCUCGAAAGUGCGGGUAUCAAACAGGAUUAGAUACCCUUGUAGUC
rnacentral:rRNA from 1 species